rnacentral:rRNA from 1 species
UACAGAGGGUGCCAGCGUUACUCGGAAUUACUGGGCGUAAAGCGUGCGUAGACGGUCAUGUAAGUCGGGUGUGAAAGCCCCGGGCUCAACCUGGGAAUUGCAUUCGAGACUGCAUGGCUAGGAUGCGGAAGAGGGAAGCGGAAUUUCCGGUGUAGCGGUGAAAUGCGUAGAUAUCGGAAGGAACACCAGUGGCGAAAGCGGCUUCCUGGUCCAGCAUCGACGUUCAGGCACGAAAGCGUGGGGAGCAAACGGG